UACGAACCGUCCAAACGUUACUCGGAAUCACUGGGCUUAAAGGGUGCGUAGGCCGCGCGGAGGGUGGGAUGUGAAAUCCCCCGGCUCAACCGGGGAAUAGCGUCCCAAACCGCCGUGCUCGAGGGAGACAGAGGUGAGCGGAACUGAUGGUGGAGCGGUGAAAUGCGUUGAUAUCAUCAGGAACACCAGUGGCGAAGGCGGCUCACUGGGUCUUUCCUAACGCUGAGGCACGAAAGCUAGGGGAGCGAACGGG
rnacentral:rRNA from 1 species